rnacentral:rRNA from 1 species
UUGGAGGGCAAGUCUGGUGCCAGCAGCCGCGGUAAUUCCAGCUCCAAUAGCGUAUAUUAAAGUUGUUGCAGUUAAAAAGCUCGUAGUUGAAUUUCGGGAUUUUACCGUUGGUCGGGGCUAUUGUCUGUACUGGCGUGUAGAAUUUCUACCUUCUGGGGAACCAUCAUGUUAUUAAUUUAGCGUGGUGGGAAACCAGGACCUUUACCUUGAAAAAAUUAGAGUGUUCAAAGCAGGCUUAUGUCUGAAUACAUUAGCAUGGAAUAAUAAAAUAGGACGGUGGUCCUGUUUUGUUGGUUUCUGAAUCACCGUAAUGAUUAAUAGGGAUAGUUGGGGGCAUUAGUAUUCAAUUGUCAGAGGUGAAAUUCUUGGAUUUAUUGAAGACUAACUUCUGCGAAAGCAUUUGCCAAGGAUGUUUUCAUUAAUCAAGAACGAAAGUUAGGGGAUCGAAGACGAUCAGAUACCAUCGUAGUCUUAACCAUAAACUAUGCCGACUAGGGAUCGGACGAUGUUAAUUUUUCUUGACUCGUUCGGCGCCUACGGG